rnacentral:rRNA from 1 species
CCGAGUGCGAGGGCAUAUAGUCCUCGCUUUUCACCACCGUAAGGUGGUGGUGGAAUAAGUGCUGGGCAAGACCGGUGCCAGCCGCCGCGGUAAUACCGGCAGCACGAGUGAUGACCGCUAUUAUUGGGCCUAAAGCGUCCGUAGCUGGCCGCACAAGUCUAUCGGGAAAUCUGCGUGCUUAACGCGCAGGCGUCCGGUGGAAACUGUGUGGCUUGGGACCGGAAGAUCCAGAGGGUACGUCUGGGGUAGGAGUGAAAUCCCGUAAUCCUGGACGGACCGCCGGUGGCGAAAGCGCUCUGGAAGGACGGAUCCGACGGUGAGGGACGAAAGCUCGGGUCACGAACCGGAUUAGAUACCCGGGUAGUCCGAGCUGUAAACGAUGUCUGCUAGGUGUGACACUGGCUACGAGCCAGUGUUGUGCCGUAGGGAAGCCGUGAAGCAGACCGCCUGGAAAGUACGUCCGCAAGGAUGAAACUUAAAGGAAUUGGCG